rnacentral:hammerhead_ribozyme from 1 species
AUCAGAUGACGAGUCCCAAAUAGGACGAAAUGUGCAUCCUAGAU